UCUUCUGAUUUAAACAAGCAAACAUUUUUAGAUUAUACUCAUGUUAUAUUGUGUACGUUUUGUUAAAUUUUUAUCAUGGACACCUUCAAACUGAAGUGGCAAAGACAGUGUUGUGAACACCGUGAUGGCACCUGCUUCAGCUGUGCCAGUGAGGACAGCUCUGUCAUGUCUGUGCCCACCUCCCCAGUCACACUUGCUGAAUUAUUUUAAAUCAAAUUCUGGACAUCAUGCUAGACUAUUCUCCAAAGUUGUAUUUUGGAUGAGCUCUAAAAGAUGCUGUGUUUUGAGAGUGUUUGUUAUUCACACACAUCACAUAGGCAAGUGCACUGAAUCAGGGGAAGUGGCCCG
rnacentral:lncRNA from 10 species